UGUAUGCUAAGCAAGAAGAAGCCUGUGAGACGACUUACAAAAAAAGCUUUCCUUUUUAUAUAGAAAAAACAAAGGAAGAAAAGGUUCCUGCAGUGGUUCGGUGCCGAUCGAUGGUGGCUAUAGUGUGAAUGUAUGGUGGAUUUAUGGCAUUAUAUAUGGGAGGCAUUUUUUUCUCAUAUGUCUUUCACAAGAUUUGUGUCCCUGAUCAAUGGAAGCAAGAACAGAAUUCGAAAGAGAAGGGAGAUGCAUCGAAGAAGGAGGUGAAAUGGGUUAUGCCUGGCUCCCUGUAUGCCACAGCAAAGACCAAUCUCUUCUGUCUUAGAUUGGCUGCUGCCGGUGGCGUGCGAGGAGCCAAGCAUACUCUCUCCUUUCUAUCUCUAUGUGAGCCUGUGUGGGUCAUCAUCACUUUAUUCUUUGCAUGUGCAUAUCGAGUCUACCUAGAGAGCUAACACACUGCUUGCAUCAAAUUAAAUGGAAGAAUUAUUUCUUAAUUAAAGGAAUUAGUGCUAGCUUAGAGCAGAGAAAGUUGUUUCGUUCUUGCAACAGAGAAUUAUUUUAUGUUUUUUAAAGUUCUUGUACUCUCGAAUUUAGAAUACCCUAUUUUCACGCAUUCAUUAGGCUCAACAAGCAACGAUUGAUAAACUUAUUUACUAAGUUAUUUUCCAAAUAAAUUGAAUAUUAUCACCCGCAUUGAGCAAGCUUCUUUUUUCUUUUUCUUUUUUUGCGUGCGUGUGAGAGUAUGUUUCUUGAUUUGAUCUAAUUGGAGGAGCAAUGUGCAUGUACUUGCUAGCUGGUAGUGUUUGUCUUCUUCAGGUUUCAGCUUUAUGAACUUGAUCGCCAGAAUCAGUGGAGGAUUAUAUAUAUUGGCGUGGCCUCUCUUCUUGCAAGGAAAUCCCCCCAUGAACUUCUGAUUCGAUUCCCGCUUGGCUACCAAUCUAUGUAGCAGAGAAGCUUAAGGGCCAUGCUGUGAUCAAGAACUACCUUAAUCUCAUGGGGAAGAGAGAAUCAUUGCAAUUUGCCAGCGAUCAAUGAUUUUACUCCUCCGUUGUGGGCUUGUUGUUUAAGAUAAUGUUGCCUUGUUUUUCCUGAACUACGUACGUACAUUGCCUUCUCUUUCUUGUGUCUGUGUGCUAAUUUGUUGGCUCACAUAAAUUUGUAUGAAUGAACAUCAAAUAAACUAGCUAGCCGCUCGGUUGUUACAUUAGAUUUGAAUGUAGGAAUUGUAUGCAUAAUUCUUUAAAUUAUAAGGGUUUAUUAAUCAAUUUUAUUAAAUUA